rnacentral:rRNA from 1 species
UACGUAGGGUGCGAGCGUUAAUCGGAAUUACUGGGCGUAAAGCGUGCGCAGGCGGUUUUGUAAGCCAGAUGUGAAAUCCCCCGGGCUUAACCUGGGAAUGGCAUUUGGGACUGCAAGGCUGGAGUGUGGCAGAGGAGACUGGAAUUCCCGGUGUAGCAGUGAAAUGCGUAGAUAUCGGGAGGAAUACCGAUGGCGAAGGCAGGUCUCUGGGCUGACAC